CACGUAGGGGGCGAGCGUUGUCCGGAUUUAUUGGGCGUAAAGAGCUCGUAGGCGGUUUCGUAAGUCGGAUGUGAAAACUCCAGCUCAACUUGGAGACGCCAUUCGAUACUGCGAUGACUUGAGUCCGGGUAGGGGAGUGUGGAAUUCCGUGGUGUAGCGGUGAAAUGCGCAGAUAUCAGGAGGAACACCGGCGGCGAAGGCGGCACUCGUGGGCCGGUACUGACGCUGAGGAGCGAAAGCGUGGGUAGCAAACAGG
rnacentral:rRNA from 1 species